rnacentral:lncRNA from 1 species
ACCCGUUUCACCCAACACCACCUCAUCUUCCACACCACCUGUUGAAACCCCAAAACCAAGAUUCCGUCGCCAGAAAAUGCUAGAAAGAAAAACUGUUGCUAAUGGUUCCCUAAGGAAGACGUUGAAUGAAAAAUAAAAGUCCAGUAAAAAGAAAGAAGUCUCAUCAAAGGAGACCAACUCUAGCUCUGAAUCCGAUGACUACAUCUCUGCUAGUGAAGGAGAUGAACAUGGGUCUUCUGACACUGCCAAAAGUCAAAAAACCCCAGUAGAGGUAAAUACAUGCUUUGUUUUUUCUAAUGUAAUUCAAAGGGAUGAAAAUAGGUAUGUUCUGAUAGGGGCUGCAACAGAUGUUGUUGGGGCUAAUUCUGGGAAAAUGAGGAAGAAAAAUAAGAAGGAGAUUUUAGCUAUUGUAGGAAUGGGGAAGAGGGAGUCUCAAAGUCAGGGGAAAGUGUAUCAGGAGAAGCUGUUGAGGGUUUGGUUAAUCUGAGCAAAAAACAAGAUAAAUCUGGUUCAUUUGGGGAGAAGAGCUUGGCUGAUUUACUGAAGAAGGUAGGGUCCAUUUAUGACCCAAAAAACACAAGAUUUCCUCACAAAGGACCCCUACUGCGUCGAAUCCAACCAAGAAAAGCAAACCUUCAUCACCCAAGUCUAUUUUUAGGGUUAGAUCCACUAGAAGUAGGGAUUAGGGAGAGUGAAGCAGAGUUGAAGAAAACUUUAGAAGAGAGUAAGAAAAAGAGGAAAGAAAAAGGGAAAACAAAAUUAGGUGAAAGUUUUGAGGCUAUGGUUGAAGAGGAGGAAGAAGAGAUGGAAUUGGUCCAUCAAGAAAGGGGUACUACUGUGGAUGUUACCACUGCCAAAUCAAACGGAACCAGGACUUCUACCAAGAAGCCCUUAAACCCAGUGCCUGCUGAACCUGCUUUUUACAAGAGAACUAGGUCAGCUGCAUAAGGAAAAAAAGUAAAAAUAGCUGAAGAAGAGGAAGAAGAUCGGAGUGAAGAAGAAGAAGAGGAUGAGUGUUAAAAGGAACAGGACAGGUAUGCCAUGUUUGGCGGAAGAGAGAUCUUGAAGGGAAUACUUCUCAAAGACUUGGAUGAGCCAGACAUGAUGAGACUUGUGACUGCACUAGAAGCAUAGGGUGGAAGGACAUGUUCCUUCAGAUGGAUGGCAAAUUGGCCAGGAAAGAACUGGUUGAGUUCAUGACAAAUGGUACAGUGAAACAUGGACUGGUGACUAGCUUAAUUGAAGGAGUAAAAUUGAAGUUUAAUGCUGCUAAGCUGGGAAAGAUUUUGGACAUCCCUAGUGAGGGAUAUGAUGACUAUAAAAGGAACAGGUGGCCAUGUAUGUAUGGACUGCCUACUAAUCUUCAGAUCACUAGGAAUUUCUGUGUCACCAAAUCAGAAGAGGAGGUGCCUGAGGCCAGAGAAGUUCAGAAAAGUGAAAUGAGGCUAAAGUAUAAAGUGCGCUUCGAAUUUUUCUACAAAUACCUUCGACCGAGAUAUGAGAGAAGGCAUACAACAAAUUACAUGGAUCUGAUUCUCAUGCAAUGCAUGAAUGAAGGGAAGCAGAUCAACUGGCCUACCUUUAUUGUGAAGCUACUUGAAAGGGUGCUCAAAGGCUCAUGCCAUUCCCUAUGGAUUUAUUUUGACAACUGUGCUUGAAAGACUAAAUGUUUCCUUGAAGAAGUGAGAAAUGGCUUCCAGCAAAGAGCACUUUGGCAUCAAGACCCUUCAAGCUUGUGAUUAUCUUGCCUUCGUUGUGAAGCUUCUUGAAAGGGUGCUCAAAGGCUCAUGCCAUUCCCUAUCGAUUUAUCUUGACAACUGUGCUUGAAAGAUUGAAUGUUCCCUUGAAGAAGUGGGAAAUGGCUUCCAGCAAAGAGAGUUUUGGCAUCAAGAUCCUUCAAGCUUGUAAUUAUCUGCUCGGUACAUGCCCAAUUAAACUCGGUUCAUCUGUGAAGACUCCUGUGAACAACAAGGUCAGAGCCUUGGUUCUGGAGGUUGGGACAAGGGAUGCUGAGAUAACAAGGCUUCAUGCCAGAAUUGCUGAAUUAGAGGGAGAAAGGAAUGGGUUGAGAGCUGAACUUGCGAAGGAGAAUGAGAAAAAUGAGGAAUGCUCCAACAAAUGCUCAAUCUGCUACAAACACAACUCUCCAGCUCUUUUAAGCCUUAGGUGUCCUGUCCUAGUGUGAACCAAUCUAG